AUCCGGCGCAGAACCAGCUGCCACCGUUAAGUGCCCCUCCCUUCUUCUCCUCCUCCUCCUCCUCCCAGUUCUCGGGCUCCGCCGGCUUCUCGCGAGAGUGGCGGCGCUGCGGGAAUCGGAGAGCGCUCGGCGGACUCGACGUGCCCCACCGCGGGGUGGUGCUCUGACUGCGGCAACCGUUGGAGGGCUGCCCCGGAGGAGGCGGCGAGGCGCCACCGGUCUCUUAAACUUCUUCUCAAGUGUAUUCUGCACUAAGAGGAAUGACUGCACCAAUUUCCUGAGCUAUGGCAGUCAGACCUGGUAGCAGUAACUUCUCUGCAGAACCCCCUAACCUGGCAAGGAUGAUUCAGAUGUUGGCAGAUUAUGGCUUCAUCCCCACCCAGCACUGAUGUUAUCAGCAGAGGAAUAUCAUUGAUCCCUGGAGAAGGGAGCUUCAACCAACUUGAGGAUCUACUAUUUAGUUAUAGAACUGUACUACAAGAAAUGGUGAUGAUAGUUCUUCAAAGGGAAAAGAAAUAAUAUUACAGAAAACUUGGAUAUUCAGGAGCAACUGAAGAGAAUAAGAAAUGGAACUGAUAUGACCCGGAUUCAGUAUAUUCUGUCCAUGGAGUGGUGCUGUGUAUGAUCUACACAGCUGUAUAAGAUUGCCUUGGGUGAGCAACAGUCUGGUAAUGGAGUUAACUCAAUCAAGUUAAAUAUAUUCAUUACUAGAGACCCGAUGCAUGAAAUUCAUGCAAGGGCCUUGGCCCCAGCCCCUGUCCACCGUGGCCAGGGCCUCUGCCGCCUCUGCCAUGGCCCCCACCCACUGCGGCUUUGUCCAGAAGGAAGGAUGUCCAGAAAGGACAUCCUGUCUAAUUAGCAUAUUAUGCUUUUAUUAUUAUAGAU